rnacentral:tRNA from 1 species
GGGCGUGUAGUCAAGUGAUAUGAUUCUCGCUUUGGGUGCAAGAGGCUCUGGUUUCAAUUCCCAGCUCGCCCC